AAGUCGUAACAAGGUUUCCGUAGGUGAACCUGCGGAAGGAUCAUUACAGUAUUCUUUUGCCAGCGCUUAAUUGCGCGGCGAAAAACCUUACACACUAUGUUUUUUUAAUUUGAAACUAUUGCUCUGGUCUGGCCUAGAAAUAGGUUGGGCCCAAAGGUUUUAUUACCAAAACUUCAAAUAUUUAUAUUGAAUUUGUUAUUUUUAAAUUUUUUUGUCAAUUUUGUUGAUUAAAUUCAAAAAUUCUUCAAAAA
rnacentral:misc_RNA from 1 species